rnacentral:tRNA from 1 species
GGAGAGGUGUCCGAGUGGUUUAAGGAGCACAUUUGGAAAGUGUGUAAGUGUAAUUUGUUGACUUCAAGGGUUCAAAUCCCUUUCUCUCCGC